rnacentral:rRNA from 1 species
UGAGGAAUAUUGGUCAAUGGUCGCUAGACUGAACCAGCCAAGUAGCGUGCGGGAUGAAGGCCCUCCGGGUCGUAAACCGCUUUUAGACGGGGAUAAAAGGGCGUACGUGUACGCCGUAUUGCAUGUACCGUCAGAAAAAGGACCGGCUAAUUCCGUGCCAGCAGCCGCGGUAAUACGGAAGGUCCGGGCGUUAUCCGGAUUUAUUGGGUUUAAAGGGAGCGUAGGCGGACUUUCAAGUCAGUGGUAAAAUCGUGUGGCUCAACCAUACCUCGCCAUUGAAACUGGAAGUCUGGAGUGCACACAGGGGUGCCGGAAUUCAUGGUGUAGCGGUGAAAUGCUUAGAUAUCAUGAAGAACUCCGAUCGCGAAGGCAAGUGCCCGGGGUGCAACUGACGCUGAGGGCUCGAAAGGUGUGGGUAUCGAACAGGAUUAGAUACC